rnacentral:lncRNA from 1 species
UUUUUUUUUUACAUUCUUUUGAUAAAUUAAAAUUUCCAGAUGUUUCCGAUGUUUGUAGACUGUCUAACUAAAUGUACCGGGCUCAGUUUGGUUUGUACGAGGGCUGUAAUACCGAUUUAAACAUGAUUUAUUAUUGUCCGAUAUAAAAUGUGCUGGUUGGCUAGGUGUGUAUCUACUGAGACCGUUGGUCCGAUACUGUCCAAGCUGUCACAGAGAGGGGAACCAUGGAAACAGGUUCUGGGUGCUGUUUAUCUCAGAAUACCCAGGAGUCAGAUGUUGAGCGCUUGACUUUCCUCCCGUUGCUCCCCACCUGAUCAAUCCACUCGUUACCAAAGCCUACAAGUUAUUUCCAGAGAACCUGAUGUAUAUUAUAACUCAGUAUGAACCCUAAUAAAGCUUUAUACCUGAUGGAUGAUGAUGAUGAUGAUGGAUCUCUGGCAUUGAGGUGAAUCUGUUGCUCCGAUCUGAUAAAAGACUCAUUAUAAAAGAGACUGAGUGUUUUUAAAAACCGCACCAGCAUGCUUCAGGACGUUCUAGAGCCAGACUUCAGGAAGUUCUAGAAUCAGGCUUCAGGAAGUUCUAGAACAAGGUUUGAGGAUGUUGUAGAACCAGGCUUCAGGACGUUCUAGAACCAGGCUUCAGGAUGAUCUAGAACUAGGCUUAAGGAAGUUCUAGAACCAGGCUUCAGGACGUUAUAGAACCAGGUUUGAGGAUGUUGUAGAACCAGGCUUCAGGAUGAUCUAGAACCAGGCUAAAGGAUGUUCUAGAACCAGGCUUGAGGAUGUUGUAGAACCAGGCUUCAGGAUGUUCUAGAACCAGGCUUCAGGAUGUUGUAGAACCAGGAUUCAGGACGUUCUAGAACCAGGCUUCAGGAUGUUGUAGAACCAGGCUUCAGGACGUUCUAGAACCAGGCUUCAGGAUGUUCUAGAACCAGGCUUCAGGAAGUUCUAGAACCAGGCUUCAGGAAGUUCUAGAACCAGGCUUCAGGACGUUCUAGAACCAGGCUUCAGGACGUUUAAGCUGUGAUGGAACCUGACCUUCAAUCUAUCAGAAACCUUGUCGUUUUAACUCUUGAGAGACUGGAGGAAGAGGAGGAGGAGGAGGAAGAGGAGGAAGAGAAGGGUGUGUUUUCUAGCUGUCAAUAGACAAGCUAACUGUCUGCAAUAAUUUCCCUCUGAUGCUCCCAGAACUGAGAGAGAGGGUUUCCAAGGCUGGUAUACAACUGUACUUUUGACAUUGUUUUUUAAUUGCUGAUUAUUAUAAUGAUCAAACAUUAUCCUGAAGGAUGUUCCCCC